CAAGACAACUUUACGGAGUUGACGAUUGACGGAGCGAAGCGACGUCAAAGCGUUCAUUAAAGUCGAGUUGGCUUAGGGAUACGUUCGUUGGGUAGGGGAGCGUUCUGUAAGCCUGUGAAGGUGUGUCGUGAGGCAUGCUGGAGGUAUCAGAAGUGCGAAUGCUGACAUAAGUAACGAUAAAGCGGGUGAAAAGCCCGCUCGCCGGAAGACCAAGGGUUCCUGUCCAACGUUAAUCGGGGCAGGGUGAGUCGACCCCUAAGGCGAGGCCGAAAGGCGUAGUCGAUGGGAAACGGGUUAAUAUUCCCGUACUUGGUGUUACUGCGAAGGGGGGACGGAGAAGGCUAUGUUGGCCGGGCGACGGUUGUCCCGGUUUAAGCGUGUAGGUGUGUGUUCCAGGUAAAUCCGGUUCACUUUAACACUGAGGCGUGACGACGAGGCA
rnacentral:rRNA from 1 species